rnacentral:rRNA from 1 species
GACGAACCGAGCGAACGUUGUUCGGAAUCACUGGGCUUAAAGGGCGCGUAGGCGGGCUGCCGCGUCCGGGGUGAAAUCCUCCCGCUCAACGGGAGAACGGCCUCGGAUACGGGCGGCCUCGAGGGAGGUAGGGGCAUGCGGAACUACGGGUGGAGCGGUGAAAUGCGUUGAUAUCCGUGGGAACUCCGGUGGCGAAGGCGGCGUGCUGGACCUCAUCUGACGCUGAGGAGCGAAAGCGUGGGGAGCGAACAGG